CUGCCAUUUAUAUAAUUUAUAUGCAAACAAUUCAAAUAUCUACCAACCUACUUUGAUUCAUAGAACUCCUCCGCUUUCGUGCCGAUGAAGUAUCUAAAUCUGACAAAAUCUCCACUGAGAUUUCAUCUCCAUCAUCCUCACCAUUGUUCUCGGUCUCCAAAUCCCGAAGCCCUCCUAAAAAGUUUACAUCCGGAAGCCAUCCCUUGGUUUUCUGCAUCAACAAUGGGUAUCUCAAACAAAUUACUCUUCAAAUAGCCAAGAUUAAAUGAUGUAUAAUAAAACUAAUAGUAGUGGUAUACUCUGCAUAUAGUUCUCGGCAUCAUUAUCUUGAAACUCUGUUGUCCCUUUCUCAGCAU
rnacentral:lncRNA from 1 species